CAGACCCAAGUAGCAGAGCCGAAGUUUUUCAAAGAUUUUUCUGUGUGCCAAAGCGAGAUGCCCUGUCUUCUCUCUCCAGAUUUUGGACAGCAAACCGCCGCGCGUAUAGAGGUGUGUGCGUGUGACGAAAAACGAUGGAUGAAAAACGCGAGGAGCGGGAUCCGAAGUCUUUCGUUGGUCACACACACAUGCAUCUACCGUUGGAUUGCGCUACACCGAGUCUACCCAUCUCUCUCGAUCUACCAUGAUUUUUUUCUGCUAUCGCACUCAUCCGGGAGUUAGGCAUCCUCAGUCUGCCCAGAACUUUCGUUGUGGAAGGAUGUGCGGGAGUGAUGUGCGAUUUCUUGUGUCCCCUACUUUCCUUGUUUACGUUUUGCGCAGUGUUGCUUCUUCUUCCAUUGCGGAAUGAUUUAUCCUAGCUAACUUGUUGAGUUACAGGUGCAUGCGCCAUUCAUCAACGCCUACCUGUUGGCAUCAUCAACAAUCUUCAAAGUGGGUGACGGAAAGAAAUUGUUUUCCAGUUUUAAAAUAUUAAGCGUUCAGCACAACUCAGCCACAAAACUACGCACUGGAUUGCGCUAAGAACCUGUCGAAACGCGCGCAGCCCCCGGGAGCGGUAGGAGAAAGGAAGAACGAGAGGAGGAAAAACUAAAGCCAGCGCGCAGCUCUGAUGGUACCCCGUACGCGGUAAGAAGAAAAAAGAUCGAGAGGAGGAAGAACGGUAAAUUUGGAAGGGGGAGACCGUUCUGCCGUCUCCACAGUGCGAGUAUGCCAAAGCACGUGUUGGAAGGGAGAGAAAAAGUGUGGAAUAAACUACAUGCGAAUGUAUGCAUACAGCAAAAGUAAA